rnacentral:rRNA from 1 species
GUUUGUUUGGAGUUAUAAAGAAUUUAACCUGCCCCCUGAUUAACUACUAAAUUAAAGGGCCGCAGUAUUAUAACUGUGCAAAGGUAGCAUAAUCAUUAGGUUUUUAAUUGAAAUCUCGUAUGAAUGGUUGGACAAAAGAAAGACUCUCUUUAUAUUAAGUUUUGAAUUUAACUUUUAAGUGAAAAGGCUUAAAUAUUCUAAAGGGACGAUAAGACCCUAUAAAACUUUACAUUGUCAUUAAUUUUGAUUGAAUUUAUGAAAUAAAAAUUUUAUUUGAUUAUUUGUUAUGUUGGGGAGACAUAAGUAAAAUAUUUUUUUAACUGCUUGAUAGUUAUACAAUUAUUAGUGAAUAAGUAGAAGAUCCUUUUUAAGAUUAGUAGAUUAAGUUACUUUAGGGAUAACAGUGUAAUUUCUUUUGAGAGUUCUUAUCGAAAAAGAAGGUUGCAACCUCGAUGUUGAAUUAAAAUAUCUAUAUAAUGGAGAGGUUAUAUAAGAAGGUCUGUUCGACCUUGAAAAUUUUACAUGAUUUGAGUUCAAACCGGUGUGAG